rnacentral:rRNA from 1 species
UCCAGACUCCUACGGGAGGCAGCAGUGGGGGAUAUUGCACAAUGGGGGAAACCCUGAUGCAGCGACGCCGCGUGAGUGAAGAAGUAUUUCGGUAUGUAAAGCUCUAUCAGCAGGGAAGAAGAUGACAGUACCUGAGUAAGAAGCCCCGGCUAACUACGUGCCAGCAGCCGCGGCAAUACGUAGGGGGCAAGCGUUAUCCGGAUUUACUGGGUGUAAAGGGAGCGUAGACGGUUAUGUAAGUCUGGAGUGAAAGCCCGGGGCCCAACCCCGGGACUGCUUUGGAAACUGUGUAACUAGAGUACAGGAGGGGCAGGCGGAAUUCCUGGUGUAGCGGUGAAAUGCGUAGAUAUCAGGAGGAACACCGGCGGCGAAGGCGGCCUGCUGGACUGAAACUGACGUUGAGGCUCGAAAGCGUGGGGAGCAAACAGGAUUAGAUACCCGUGUAAU